rnacentral:rRNA from 1 species
AUGUUGAUGCAAGACUACUUCACGGAGAAUCCAACAUAUCCGUCGCACCUUUUCCAGAGAAGGUACCGAAUGCGCCGAUCUCUCUUUGUGAAAAUUGUUCAAGCUUGCGAGGCCAAAUGUUGGUAUUUUACUCAAAGAAGAAAUGCCGCGGGAUUCAAGGGAUUUAGUGCAUAUCAAAAAAUCUCGGCAGCUAUGCGGGUAAUUGCAUCCGGCAAUACGGCUGACUAUGUCGAAGAUAUCACAAUUGAGUCAGUGUGUAGGAUUGCCAAAGUGAUCGUCUGUGUCUUUAGUCCUGAAUAUCUUCGGGCACCCAACGAGGGAGACACAAAAUUUUUGAUGCCAUCUAAUGAGAGAAGAGGUUGGCCUGGCAUGCUAGGUAGCAUUGACUGUAUGCAUUGGACUUGGAAAAAUUGCCCGAAGGCAUGGCAGGGAAUGUAUUGUGGCAAGUCUCGUGAUGCAACAAUUGUGCUAGAGGUCGUAGCAUCCGAGGGAUUUAUGGAUUUGGCAUUGCUUUUUUGGUAUGCCGGGCUCUCAAUGAUAUCAAUGUGUUGUAAUGGUCUUAUUUGUUUGCUAGGCUUGCUAGUGGUGAUGCUCUUGCUUGCAACUACACUAUCAAUGGGCAUGAAUACACAAAGGGGUACUAUCUUGCAGAUAGUAUAUACCCUCCUUGGUGCACAUUUGUCAAGAGCAUCAAUGAAUCCACAACUAGGAAAGAAUGUGAAUUUGUAA